rnacentral:lncRNA from 1 species
GGGAAGCAAACAGGGCGAUGCUCUGAGGUGGCUGUUACCAGAGGAAAACAGUAAGAACGUUGGGUAAUAGCUGCAUCUUGUUUGGAUUAGAGCUAUGUUCCCUUUUGAAUCCUGAGGUUAAAACUGGAGGUAUUGAAGACCUCAGGCUGCCAUUUAUACAUGGACAGGAGCUCUUUGGUUAACUCCUUCCCUCUGACUUUUUAAGGUUUUAUCAUAUUUUAAAAGAAAUUCCAUUGAAAUGUUUUAGUUGUGAAUUGUUGAGCUAAAUUAAUUCUUAACUAAAACCAGAAUUUCCCUUUUUAAUUUUAACUGGAACAAAAUCCUUACUCUCCUGUUGCAAUUGCUCUGGAUAAUUAUGUGAAGUCAUGGCAGUAUGAGUGGAUACCCAGACAGUUACUUCCCAGAGGGAGGUGGUUGUGUUUUAAGCAAAGCCUAUUGUAACUUCAGAGUCCAGGUGGGGCACACAGUGUUGGGUGAGUUCACAUUUGGAUGGGAUUUAUAUCUCCGUUUACUGUCUACCGAAGUCACCGUUUCACAGGGGCGUGGUUCCUCACUUCUUGCUGUUGAUAGAUCUGUGCUGUUUUGCUUUAUUAACUCACAAAUUCACUGUUGAGCAUUUUCAGUUGAAUUUAUUUUGUGAAAUAAUUCAAGUAGCGUGUUGACUAGAUGUACUGGUUUGGUUGUGAGGUGGGAUGUGGUUGACCUCUGUCUUAUUUGGCUGUGAACAAUCUCCAUGGGAGCAUUCAUGCUCUUUGUAAGCACUUGGCGUGCUGAUACCAACUCACAGUUAAGUUUUGUUGUUGCUCCUUUUUUUUUUUUUCAUUUCAAUUUUAGACCAUGAGAAUUUGCACCAAGGCUCCCCUGGUUUGAGUGGAGCUGCCUGGAUCAAACGCUGCCUGCUCUGCCCUGGC